AAGAGAAUAUGCGGCAGCAAAGGCAGUCCUCAAGGAGAAUAAUAUACGUUUCCAAUUGCCUUUUCCGGCGAGGCUGAGAGUGCACUACAGUGAAGGGGUGGUGACCUAUAACACAGCGCAUGAGGCAACGACGGAUAUGGUGAUGAGAGGAUUGUUGGUAGAUGUUGUGAAGAACCGAGAUACUCUUUUGGAUCAGAUAAGGCAACAGUCCUGGCAAACAAGCGCAAAGAAGAAGAAACAGGGAAACACGGUCCAAAAGCAGGGCUUCAAGGAGCGGCUUCAGGCUUUCAUCAGGAUAACAUCAGGAUAACUGUGGGUAAAUGAGUGUGGGCUGCUGUGAUGGAGCAUCAUAUUAGAGCUAAAUUUAAAAUCAUAGAGCUUUAAGAGCAAUUAAGAUUAAGGAUUUUAUUUUGAUAUAGAUGUUUUAGUUAUAUAUUUUGAAAACUUUCUAAUGAGGGCAUAUAAAAGUAGAUUAAAAUCGGGUCAUUUACACGUAAAGUGAAUUGGACUCUACAGACCAUGGUAUUUUCGGCCUGCAGGCUGAAGAGGGCACUCUUCCACAAGUUGGCAGAAGAACCUUUCCCUCAAUCACAACUAAUAUAGAGUUCAUGUUUUUGGAAGUCAACAUGAUUAUAUUUUCUUAUUUCAUAAUGUUCGUUUAUAUACACGUUCUUUGUUCAGCUUUGUUUUUGUUCCUUAGGGGUGUACUUUUUAAUCUGUUGUUAUGUACAGAGGUAAAAAAAAAAAAAAGAUACAAUGUUUGUACAAUGCAGAGUCAGAAGUUAACUAAAGUAGUGUCAUACAAUGUAAAUGGCUUGGGGAAUCACAUUAAGAGAAGUAAAAUUAUGUCUAAACUAAAAAGAGAAGGGAUAUAGGUUGUCCUUUUACAGGAAACCCACUUAUCGCAGUCAGAGCAUGGAAAACUUAAGAAAUGGAAAUUUAGCCAGUACUCAUCUUCUUGCACUCAGGGAUCUAAAAGGGGUGUGGUAAUUUUAAUAUCAAGCAAGUUAAAUUUUGAAUGCACUCGAGAGAGAAGGGAUAAGGAUGGGAGAUUUGUGCUAGUGAAGGGAUACUUAGAGGGCAUAUUGAUUACUUUUGUAAAUGUAUAUGCUCCCCCAGGAUCAGAGUUAAAUUUCUUUAAACAACUUUUUGAAUUGAUUACUGUAGAGGCGCAAGGCAUUUUAAUUUUGGGAGGGGAUUUGAAUGUACGACUCUGUCCAUCCUUAGAUUCAUCAAACCCACACGCCCCGGGAUUAAACAAAAUAACUACAAAUAUUAAACUAGUUUUAAAGGACUUAGGGCUUAUAGACGUUUGGAGAGAGCUAAACCCGACAA